rnacentral:other from 1 species
UCAUCCCUGGGGUGUUGGCCAGUUGUCCAAGUCCUCGAGCCUAUGAUGUACUACCGGGACGCUGCUUGUUUUUGCCCGUGUGCAGGUCCGCCAUGUAGCGGAAAGCCUUCGGCAGAUCGGUAGCUUCCACCUUGAACUUUAGGGUUCAAGGGCCACGACAACAGCGGCACCCUGGGGCCACC